rnacentral:tRNA from 1 species
GCUCCGGUGGUGUAGCUGGCCUAACACGUCUCCCUGUCACGGAGAAGACCGUCGGUUCGAAUCCGAUCCGGAGCG